GUCCCGUGCUGAGUGUUGACCUGGGAGUCAUGAAUCCACAACUUCCAUUUCUACCUCUUCCACAGUGACAAGGAGAGGCAGCUUUAAUGAUGUAUGGUCCUACUGCUGCGGCUAAAAUCUAAAUUCCUGGAAUAUUCCCUCCAGAUAAUCUCUGAAGUUCCUGCAUUUGCCUCUGGCUGUGGCUGAAGAAGCUGAAACCAUGAAAACCAGUCCUUUAGUUCCUGCAAAACUGACCAUGAGCUUAUGCAUCUCUGUGAGCAUCAGCUCUGGAAGGCACUUUUCACACCUUGCAUGGUGGAAGCAGCACGACACAUCUCACCAUCCCCUUUCCAUUGUGUGCAGCAUGCCCUGCCCUUCCAGAGCACGCAGAGAAGAUUAACACCACCUGACACAGCAGCAGCUCCCUGACAGGGCUUCCUGAGGUAUUUUGUGAGUGCCACAAGAUUCAGAAAACCUCUAAGGCAGGAGAGCUCCGAGCCUGCCUCACCCGUGUGGGUGGAUGGAGCUUGGAGGAUGUGUGGUGCUGUGUGUUUCAAGGCCAAGCACUCAGAGAUGAUGGUGCCUCAGGUUUUAACUUUUAUAUUUUUCAGAUUCUAU